CAGAUAAAUUUGCUGAUCGCACGGAUCUUAGUACUGGCGACGAAUCUUUGAAACGACUUGCCUAUCAACUGUCGAUGGCAGGCUACGUGCCUACCAUGGUGACAACGGUUAACGGGGAAUCAGGGUUCGAUUCCGGAGAGAGAGCCUGAGAGACGGCUACCACAUCCAAGGAAGGCAGCAGGCACGCAAAUUACCCACUCCCAGAAUGGGGAGGUAGUGACGAUAAAUAACGGAACGUAUCUCGACGAGACGCGUUACCGGAACGACUGAGCCGUAUACAAGCUCGGCGAAAGCUAUUGGAGGGCAAGUCUGGUGCCAGCAGCCGCGGUAAUUCCAGCUCCAAUAGCGUAUAUUAAACUUGCUGCGGUUGAACCGCUCGUAGUUGGAUUGUGAACCGUGACCACGGUCCUCUAAGUGAAGAGGAAUGGCUUUGCCGCCGUUGGUCGUGAUCAAUGAUGUCAUAGUUGUCCGGAUGCUAUUCAUCGGGUGUCUUGGAAGGCAUGAAUGUUUAGUUUGAGAAAAUAAG
rnacentral:rRNA from 1 species